rnacentral:rRNA from 2 species
UGAGGAAUAUUGGUCAAUGGGCGAGAGCCUGAACCAGCCAAGUCGCGUGAAGGAAGACUGCCCGCAAGGGUUGUAAACUUCUUUUGUAUGGGAUUAAAGUCACCUACGUGUAGGUGUUUGCAGUUACCAUACGAAUAAGCAUCGGCUAACUCCGUGCCAGCAGCCGCGGUAAUACGGAGGAUGCGAGCGUUAUCCGGAAUUAUUGGGUUUAAAGGGUGCGUAGGUUGCAAGGGAAGUCAGGGGUGAAAAGCUAUAGCUCAACUAUGGUCUUGCCUUUGAAACUCUCUAGCUAGAGUGUACUGGAGGUACGUGGAACGUGUGGUGUAGCGGUGAAAUGCAUAGAUAUCACACAGAACUCCGAUUGCGCAGGCAGCGUACUACAUUACAACUGACACUGAAGCACGAAAGCGUGGGUAUCAAACAGGAUUAGAUACCCUGGUAGUCCACGCAGUAAACGAUGAAUACUAGAUCUAUGCGAUAUGACAGUAUGGGUCUAAGCGAAAGCGAUAAGUAUUCCACCUGGGGAGUACGCCGGCAACGGUGAAACUCAAAGAGAUUGGCGGGGGUCCGCACAAGCGGAGGAACAUGUGGUUUAAUUCGAUGAUACGCGAGGAACCUUACCCGGGAUUGAAAUGUAGAUGCAUGAGGCUGAGAGGUCUCUUCCCUUCGGGGCUUCUAUGUAGGUGCUGCAUGGUUGUCGUCAGCUCGUGCCGUGAGGUGUCGGCUUAAGUGCCAUAACGAGCGCAACCCGCGUCGAUAGUUACUAACGAGUUAAGUCGAGGACUCUAUCGAGACAGCCGUCGUAAGACGAGAGGAAGGAGCGGAUGACGUCAAAUCAGCACGGCCCUUACAUCCGGGGCGACACACGUGUUACAAUGGUAGGGACAGCGAGCAGCCAUCUGGCGACAGAGAGCUAAUCUAUAAACCCUAUCCCAGUUCGGAUCGGAGUCUGCAACUCGACUCUGUGAAGCUGGAUUCGCUAGUAAUCGCGCAUCAGCCAUGGCGCGGUGAAUACGUUCCCGGUCCU